UACGUAGGGUGCAAGCGUUGUCCGGAAUUAUUGGGCGUAAAGAGCUCGUAGGCGGUUCGUCGCGUCGGCUGUGAAAACCUGAGGCUCAACCUCAGGCCUGCAGUCGAUACGGGCGGACUUGAGUACUGCAGGGGAGACUGGAAUUCCUGGUGUAGCGGUGAAAUGCGCAGAUAUCAGGAGGAACACCGGUGGCGAAGGCGGGUCUCUGGGCAGUAACUGACGCUGAUGCGCGAAAGCCAGGGGAGCGAACGGG
rnacentral:rRNA from 1 species